UACGUAGGGGGCUAGCGUUGUCCGGAAUCAUUGGGCGUAAAGAGCGUGUAGGCGGCCCGGUAAGUCCGCUGUAAAAGUCAAAGGCUCAACCUUUGAAUGUCAGUGGAUACUGCCGGGCUAGAGUCCGGAAGAGGCGAGUGGAACUCCUGGUGUAGCGGUGGAAUGCGCAGAUAUCAGGAAGAACACCAACGGCGAAGGCAGCUCGCUGGCCCCGAUACUGACGCUGAGGCACGAAAGCGUGGGGAGCAAACAGG
rnacentral:rRNA from 1 species